UAGGGAAUCUUCGGCAAUGGACGAAAGUCUGACCGAGCAACGCCGCGUGAGUGAAGAAGGUUUUCGGAUCGUAAAACUCUGUUGUUAGAGAAGAACAAGGACGUUAGUAACUGAACGUCCCCUGACGGUAUCUAACCAGAAAGCCACGGCUAACUACGUGCCAGCAGCCGCGGUAAUACGUAGGUGGCAAGCGUUGUCCGGAUUUAUUGGGCGUAAAGCGAGCGCAGGCGGUUUCUUAAGUCUGAUGUGAAAGCCCCCGGCUCAACCGGGGAGGGUCAUUGGAAACUGGGAGACUUGAGUGCAGAAGAGGAGAGUGGAAUUCCAUGUGUAGCGAUGAAAUGCGUAGAUAUAUGGAGGAACACCAGUGGCGAAGGCGGCUCUCUGGUCUGUACCUGACGCUGAGGCUCGAAAGCGUGGGGAGCAAACAGG
rnacentral:rRNA from 1 species